rnacentral:rRNA from 1 species
AUAGCGUAUAUUAAAGUUGUUGCAGUUAAAAAGCUCGUAGUUGGAUUUCAAGGGUCGCAUCGUGGCCUCCACGUAUGCCCCUACCAGUCUUUGACUGUUACUGUGAGAAAAUUAGAGUGUUUCAAGCAGGCGAUUGCAGGAAUACAUUAGCAUGGAAUAACGAAUGUGUCUAGAAUCUUGGUUAAUUCUAGAUUACGAUUAAUAGGGACAGUUGGGGGCAUUAGUAUUUAAUUGUCAGAGGUGAAAUUCUUGGAUUUGUUAAAGACUAACGUAUG